rnacentral:tRNA from 2 species
GCUCCCAUGGUGAAAUGGAUAUCACAAUCGACUUCGGAUCGAUUUUCGAGGGUUCGAAUCCUUCUGGGAGCACCA